GGUCGGGUGGUGUAGUUGGUUAUCACAUCUCGUUAACAUUCCGUUAAUAACUACACAGUUUACUGUGGCAGAAAACCGAGAAGGUCCUGGGGUAUGUUUCAAUUCCAUAUUCUGUUCU
rnacentral:tRNA from 1 species